rnacentral:other from 2 species
AAGAAUCUAAGGUAUACGCGAAAAUUCAUGAUUUCAGCUUUGCCUUACAAGUAAUUACAAAUUGGUUGAGGAACAUUACUUUGGCAUGUAGGCCUUACACUUGGUAACAUUAAAAAGUAAUUAUUAGUCAGCCACCUCGUUUAUCGGGGUCAAACUGAAGAAUUUUCUAACGGUGCCAAUUUGGACUUCUU